rnacentral:rRNA from 1 species
AAUAGGCUAAUUAAGAGCGUAAGGGGAAUGCCUUGGCUCUCAGAGGCGAUGAAGGACGUGAUAAGCUGCGAUAAGCUGUGGGGAGUGGCACAAACACUUUGAUCCGCAGAUUUCCGAAUGGGGCAACCCGGCAUAUUGAAGAUAUGUCACACUGUAAAGUGAGCAAACCUGGUGAACUGAAACAUCUAAGUAACCAGAGGAAUAGAAAACAAAAGUGAUUCCGCUAGUAGUGGCGAGCGGACGUGGAACAGCCCAAACCUAUGUUGUUACGGCAAUAUAGGGGUUGUAGGACCUCAACAUUUAAUGCUAAUAGAACUAGAAUUUACUGGAAAGUAAAACCAUA